rnacentral:rRNA from 1 species
AAUCUACCCUCGGGUGGGGAAUAACUUAAGGAAACUUAAGCUAAUACCGCAUAACGCAGCGGCUCCAUAUGGAGACAGUUGUUAAAGCAUUUAUGCGCCUGGGGAGGAGCUUGCGGCAGAUUAGCUAGUUGGUAAGGUAACGGCUUACCAAGGCAACGAUCUGUAGCCGGUCUAAGAGGACGGUCGGUCUCACUGACACUGAAUAACGGGUCAGACUCCUACGGGAGGCAGCAGUCGGGAAUUUUGGGCAAUGGGCGAAAGCCUGACCCAGCAACGCCGCGUGAAGGAUGAAGUCUUUCGGGAUGUAAACUUCGGAAAUAUGGGAAGAAUAAAUGACGGUACCAUAUCUAAGGUCCGGCUAACUACGUGCCAGCAGCCGCGGUAAUACGUAGGGACCAAGCGUUUGUUCGGAUUUACUGGGCGUAAAAGGGUACGUAGGCGGCGCUGCAAGUCAAUUGUGAAAUCCUCCGGGCUUAACUCGGAACGGCCAAUUUGAUACUGCAGUGCUAGAGUGCAGAAUGGGCAAGUGGAAUUCUUUGGUGUAGCGGUG